AAGGGCCGGGCAAGACCGGUGCCAGCCGCCGCGGUACACCGGCGGCUCGAGUGGUGGCCGUGAUUAUUGGGUUUAAAGGGUUCGUAGCCGGGUUGGUCAGUCUUCCGGGAAAUCUGACGGCUCAACCGUCAGGCGUUCAAGGGAUACUGCCAAUCUUGGAACCGGGAGAGGUAAGGGGUACUUCAGGGGUAGGAGUGAAAUCCUGUAAUCCUCUAGGGACCACCUGUGGCGAAGGCGUCUCACCAGA
rnacentral:rRNA from 1 species